AUGCUAACACAUCAAGUCGAUGAUCUCUCGAAGAUAUACGUGCGACGGUGAUACGCGUAAAGAAUUGCCUCAGACUGGACAACUAAUCGAAAGUUAGCUAAUACCGGAUAUUAUGAGACCUCGSCAUCGAGACUUAUGAAAGCUAUAUGCGCUGGAGGAGAACUUUGCGUUCCAUUAGCUAGUUGGUAGGGUAAUGCCUACCAAGGCGACGAUGAUAGCCGGCCUGAGAGGGUGAACGGCCACAAGGGGACUGAGACACGGCCCUUACUCUACGGGAGGCAGCAGUGGGGAAUAUUGGACAAUGGACCAAAAGUCUGAUCCAGCAAUUCUGUGUGCACGAUGAAGGUCUUCGGAUUGUAAAGUGCUUUCAGGUGGGAAGAAGAAAGUGACGGUACCACCAGAAGAAGCGACGGCUAAAUACGUGCCAGCAGCCGCGGUAAUACGUAUGUCGCAAGCGUUAUCCGGAAUUAUUGGGCGUAAAGCGAGUCUAGGCGGCUUGUUAAGUCAGAUGUGAAAAUGCGGGGCUCAACUCCGUAUUGCGUUUGAAACUGGCAGGCUAGAGUACUGGAGAGGUGGGCGGAACUACAAGUGUAGAGGUGAAAUUCGUAGAUAUUUGUAGGAAUGCCGAUAGUGAAGACAGCUCACUGGACAGAUACUGACGCUAAAGCUCGAAAGCGUGGGGAGCGAACAGGAUUAGAUACCCUGGUAGUCCACGCNGUAAACGAUGUUCACUGGGUGUAGGGGGUCGAACCUCUGUGCCGAAGUAACGCGAUAAGUGAAC
rnacentral:rRNA from 1 species